rnacentral:rRNA from 1 species
GACGAGUGGCGGACGGGUGAGUAAUGUCUGGGAAACUGCCUGAUGGAGGGGGAUAACUACUGGAAACGGUAGCUAAUACCGCAUAACGUCGCAAGACCAAAGAGGGGGACCUUCGGGCCUCUUGCCAUCGGAUGUGCCCAGAUGGGAUUAGCUAGUAGGUGGGGUAACGGCUCACCUAGGCGACGAUCCCUAGCUGGUCUGAGAGGAUGACCAGCCACACUGGAACUGAGACACGGUCCAGACUCCUACGGGAGGCAGCAGUGGGGAAUAUUGCACAAUGGGCGCAAGCCUGAUGCAGCCAUGCCGCGUGUAUGAAGAAGGCCUUCGGGUUGUAAAGUACUUUCAGCGGGGAGGAAGGUGUUGAGGUUAAUAACCUCAGCAAUUGACGUUACCCGCAGAA